rnacentral:rRNA from 1 species
AGAGUUUGAUCCUGGCUCAGAUUGAACGCUGGCGGCAUGCCUAACACAUGCAAGUCGAACGUGAAAGCACUUCGGUGUGAGUAGAGUGGCGGACGGGUGAGUAACGCGUGGGAAUCUGCCCAGUAGUGGGGGACAACUACCGGAAACGGUAGCUAAUACCGCAUACGCCCUAUGGGGGAAAGGCUUCGGCCGCUAUUGGAUGAGCCCGCGUCAGAUUAGCUAGUUGGUAGGGUAAAGGCCUACCAAGGCAACGAUCUGUAGCUGGUCUGAGAGGACGAACAGCCACACUGGGACUGAAACACGGCCCAGACUCCUACGGGAGGCAGCAGUGGGGAAUAUUGGACAAUGGGCGAAAGCCUGAUCCAGCAAUGCCGCGUGUGUGAAGAAGGCCUGCGGGUUGUAAAGCACUUUCAGUUGGGAAGAUGAUGACGUUACCAACAGAAGAAGCACCGGCUAAAUCCGUGCCAGCAGCCGCGGUAAUACGGAUGGUGCGAGCGUUAAUCGGAAUUACUGGGCGUAAAGCGCGCGUAGGCGGCUAAGUCAGUCAGAAGUGAAAGCCCCGGGCUCAACCUGGGAAUUGCUUUUGAUACUGCUUGGCUAGAGUUUGGUAGAGGAUAGUGGAAUUCCAGGUGUAGCGGUGAAAUGCGUAGAUAUCUGGAGGAACAUCAGUGGCGAAGGCGACUGUCUGGACCAAAACUGACGCUGAGGUGCGAAAGCGUGGGUAGCAAACAGGAUUAGAUACCCUGGUAGUCCACGCCGUAAACGAUGUCAACUAGCCGUCGGGUCUAUUUACAGACUUGGUGGCGCAGCUAACGCGAUAAGUUGACCGCCUGGGGAGUACGGCCGCAAGGUUAAAACUCAAAGGAAUUGACGGGGGCCCGCACAAGCGGU